rnacentral:lncRNA from 1 species
GGAUAUGAAGUGAUAUAGUACUCUUCUAGGAACUCCAGAAAUGAUGAAAAAUACUAGCUAUUUUGAACAUGGACAGAGAUCCACAGAGUACAAUAGAUUCCUCCUGCCUGGUGUGGAAACCCCCGAUGCUGGGUUCUGUCUGUCACUCAUUCCUUAUACUCAGAAGAUAUUACAUUCAUUCUAGGGCUCAGUUCUAAAGUGCUAACACAGGUGAGGCCUAGGUGGAUUUUUGGUAAGCUCUCAUUUUAAAUUGUAAGUUUGGAUGGUCUUCUGGGUCGUUGCCACAAGAUCUGCCCACAAGACUUCCUCCAUGUGUACAAGCAGUUAGAGGUGGUGAUGCUUUGGGAUCUUCACUGAUGCCUUUGACCCUAAGGUGAAGGAAACUUUAUGCAGCAAACAAGAUGAUUUGUCUCAACAGGUUAAUGAAUGCUUUGCUAAUGAUGGUUCUUCAAUUAAUUUUGUGCAUGUCUGAAAAAGGGGAUAUGUCAAAAUAAAAAAAAAGGAUGCUGUGGAAUUCAGUGGGGAAAGGUAUAAUCUGUUGUAAUAUAAUGCCACUCUCUGAUAUGUCAUGGUUUAAGGGAUUGUUUUGCCAAAGUAUGUAUUGGUUAGAUAUUAAGUGUUCAGAUGCUUUUGAAUCAUAUAUUUUUUUUUGAAUAUCUACUAUACAAAGUGGCUAAUGAAGCAACUGGAAUUGGGUGGUGCACAGUAUGAGAGACAAGAUUUGGUUACAUAAACAAGGGCUGUUAGGUCUCAAGAGAUAAAGAUAUUACAUUAUGAUUGUACAUUAUAUAUAUUUAGUGUUGUGGAUACCCUGCAUGAAGAGCUCUUUUCCAGAAUCAUGAAUUAUCCAGGACUACCAUUUCUUCAGACCUAUAAGCCACAUUUUGAAGGGCUGAAAUUCAUGUGGCAUUCCCCUCUCCUUUUAAAAAUGCUACUUUCUAGCAUUCCCCUCUUCUUGUGGGUGAACCAGAACAACUUAGUAAUACUUGGAUUCUCGUGAAACUGUCAAUGUUAUUUCCUUUUCCUUUUUGAAGAACUGUCUUCAAAAUCAGUUCGGGUGGCCUUGGUCACGUAGACCACUCAGUGUUGUCCAUUUUACAACUAAGCCCAAGUCCUCGUUGACUGUAAAUUCUUGAGUUUUGCCUACUCUCUCCUGACCCAUUACUCCGUCUCCACAUUCACUUGGUUUAUAAAGUUAUUUGCCGUUGAGUGGCCUUUAGUGAUUCCACUGGCUUACAUGAGAAGCAGAGGAUAAUAGGAAGCUUAUAUCAUACUUCGAAGGUCUCAGGGAUUUGUGUUUUCCUACUUUGACUCUGUGUGUCCAGCCUGGGUUAAGAUGGGACGGAAUGGUAGACACUGUCACAUACACAAGCAAUUCCCAAAGACUCAAACAGGGCAAUGACCCAAAGGAAGCUAGAAGGACUUUACUGCCUUUAAAUUUGCUUGCCUAAUAAGCAAAACACCCAGCUAUUAAGUAUCAUUUACUAUAAAAGUUCUGUGAGUCCUUGAGGCCCAAUAUAUAUGUUAUAAAUACAAAAUUUUAAUUACCUAUGGGGUAUCAGGACUUUGUGUCUUCAUACUUAACGAGAAUUAUAAUUUGAGUAUGCUACAUUGUUUCAUAGUUUGGGAAAUUAUGAGAUUGUAUCCCUUGGCUAUCUCUUAUUUCUGUUUACUUUUUAGUGACUGUGGAAGUUGUGAGAAUUUGAACUUGUUCUCUGUGCUAUAAUAAAUCUGUGGCAUCACACGGG